rnacentral:rRNA from 1 species
AGAUUGAACGCUGGCGGCAUGCCUUACACAUGCAAGUCGAACGGUAGAGUAGCAGUACUCGAGAGUGGCGAACGGGUGAGUAAUAUAUCGGAACGUGCCCAGUCGUGGGGGAUAACGUAGAGAAAUUUACGCUAAUACCGCAUACGAUCUAAGGAUGAAAGCGGGGGAUCGCAAGACCUCGCGCGAUUGGAGCGGCUGAUAUCAGAUUAGGUUGUUGGUGAGGUAAAAGCUCACCAAGCCGACGAUCUGUAGCUGGUUUGAGAGAACGACCAGCCACACUGGGACUGAGACACGGCCCAGACUCCUACGGGAGGCAGCAGUGGGGGAAUUUGGACAAUGGGCGAAAGCCUGAUCCAGCAAUGCCGCGUGCAGGAAGAAGGCCUCGGGUUGUAAACUAGUCGUUUGUUAC